rnacentral:lncRNA from 1 species
AAAAAGAAAAAAGAAAAAAAAAAAAGAAUGUUCAUAGCAGCCCUAUUCACAGUAACCAAAAUGGAACGACGCAGGCAUCCUUCAAAGAUGAAUGGGUAAAAGAAAUGGACUCUGUCCAUAUUAAGGAGUAGUAUUUGGCCAGGAAAAGGAAUGAAGGGCUGAUCUGUGCUACCCUGUGGAUGAACCCCAGGGAGACUGUGUGAAAGAAGUGACAGAAGCCAGAUGCAAAAGUCCACCUGUUGUGUGACUCCCUUUCAAUGAAAUGUCCAGGAGUUCCCGUCCUGGCGCAGAGGAAACGAAUCCAACUAGGAGCCAUGAGGUUGCGGGUUCGAGCCCUAGCCUCGCUCAGUGGGGUAAGGAUCUGGCGCUGCCGUGAGCUGUGGCGAAGGUUGCAGACGCGGCUCGGAUCCCCAGAGUGGCUGUGGCUCUGGCGGCGGCCAGCAGCUGUAGCUCUGAUUGGACCCUUAGCCUGGGGACCUCCAUAUGCCGCGAGUGAGGCCCUAAAAGAAAGAAAGAAAGAAAGAAAUGUCCAGAGUAGGAAAUUCCAUAAAAACAGAAAGCAGAGUGGUGGUUUCCAGGGGCUAGAGGAGGGGGCAUGGGGAGCAACUGCUUAAUGGAUGUGGCUUUGCCUUAGAGCAGAUGGAAUGCUGUGGAAUGAGACAGAGGUCGUGGUUGCACAACACUGUGAGUGUACGGAAUGCCACUGACUUGUUUAUUUUAUGCUUUGCGCAUUUCAUUCCAAUUAAAAAAAUUUUUUUUUCCUUUUCUUUUUAGGGCUUCACCCACAGCAUAUGGACAUUCCCAGGCGAGGGGUCGCAUCAGAGCUGCAGCUGCCAGCCUAGACCACAGCCAAGCCACAGCCACACAAGAUCGGAGCCACGUCUGCAACCUAUGCUACAGCUCACGGCAACGACGGGUCCUUAACCCACUGAGCAAGGCCAGGGAUUGAACCUGCAUCCUCAUGGAUACUAGUGAGGUUUGGGUUCAUUACUGAUAAGCCCCAACAAGAACUCCCUAGACUCAUCCUUUUGUGACGUACAGAAAGUCCAUUUCUAAGGCUGCUGUUGAUAUUCUGAUUUGAGUGGUGUUGAAGAAAGAAUAAUUCUAGGCACUUGGUAAAGAAGGGGAAGGCAGACUUUCCUCAGGAUGGGGCAGGGUCUUGCAGUGGAGCAGGAGGGAGGAGCGUUUGGGCUCAACUCCAAAUGCAAGGAAAAGUGGGAACUUACAGCCAAGGAGCAGGGUGGGAGUUCAUGCAUGGAAAAUUACUAGAGGAAACAUCAGGGGUAAGGGAGGAUUCUGGUGAAACUGGCCUAGCGGAGCUUGCUGAAGGCCGGCCAAGGGAGGCCAGAUGUCCUCGGGGAUGGCGAAACCCGAGCAGAUACUACAGGUGACCAGACGUGGUAGAGGAUGGGGCUGAACUGACUUAGCAGGAUUCUCUGGGUGUGUGUGCAUUUUAUUUAUUUAUUGGGCUGCGCCCUCGGCAUGAGAAAGUUCCCAGGCCAGGGAUCAAACCCUUGCCACAGAAGUAACCAGUCCUACAGCAGUCACAAUGCCAGGUCCUUAACCUGCUGAGCCACCAGGGAACUCCCAACAGUGUAUUUUUACAUUUGGGAAAAAAAUAUUUAAAACUCUGUUAGAAAUGGGGAACAUUUUUUAUUUUUUUGCUUUUUAGGGCCACACCGACGGCAUAUGAAAGUUCCCAGGCUAGGGAUCGAAUUGGAGCCGCAGCUGCCAGCCUACACCACAGCCACAGCAACGCAGGAUCCAAGCCAUGUCUGUGACCUACCCCACAGCUCACGGCAACACCAGAUGCUUAAACCACUGAGCGAGGCCAGGCAUGGCAUCUGCCUCUUCAUGGACCCUAGUUGGAUUCAUUAUCGCUGAGCCAUGACAGGAACUCCCUGGAAAUGGAAAAAAUUUAAAUCCAGCCUUUUCUAUUUGUGAAGGCUCUCUCAAAUGGAUUGGAAAUGAUACAUGCUAAAGACUCUAACUGGGUUUGGCCUUGGAAUAUCCCUAAAGGGAAGCAGAAGGAAGCAGCUGGCAACAUCCAUGGGAUCGGCUGAUGGCCCCAUCUCCUUCCUGGCCGUCUGGCACCACGAUUCCCAAACUAGGCAGUGCCCGGAACCCCCUGGCUUCAACACUAUGGAGGCCUGAGCCCCACCCUCAGAGAUUUUGACUGAAUGGGUCUGGACGGUGGCUGGGAGCUUCAGAAUUUUUCAAAUCUCCCCAGUGAUUCUCAUGGCAGACAAAGUUGGGAACCACUGACUUAGCAUAAAAGGAGCAUCUGAAGCCUGUUUUCCAAGCAGGGGGGCAACUCACAGAAAUUCUGUAACUGCCACAAAAAGACUUCAAGGGCGUCGUGAAGCGUCAUGGUCCCAGAGAUUAUUUCACGUCUGGAAAUGAGUCAGGCAUAGUACAAAUAUGACACAUACUAUUACAGUGGCUCCCCACAUCCUCCCAGGCAGCAGCGUGGGAAUAUGGGAAGAGUGACAAAGCUGGCUGCCACCCAGGCUCCCGGCAAAGGGGGAGUAGGGGGGGGGGUCUGCUGUUAUUACGGUCACUCCCGCUAGAUGGUGUCACAGCAGACGCUCCCGUGAAUUAAAAAACUCAAUUAAAUCUCCUUUCCCUGUUGAACGGCAAUACGAGUUUGAAAAUGCUCUUUUAAAAUAUCUAAUGGGUAUUGAAUUACCCGGGGAUUCUGUUUUUCCGGAAAGGAAAGAUGACGUUAGCGUCCCAUCACGAGGACCCAUGUCCCAGUGGCUGGCCUCAGGCAGUGCCACUCCCUCCCCCUGACUGCACUGUGCCUUCGUGAAAUCGGUCAGAUGUCCACCUGGCCGUGUUUGUUUCCAUGGUGGUUGUUUUGGAAUCGUGGCUUCGGAUUUACAGAAGAGUGGAAACGAGUGGCAGGAAGAAGAAACGGGCACAUGGGGAAAGAAGGCGGCUGGCGUGCUGUCCCGUCAAGGGUUGGGAAUUGCGGCUGCACUUGAGCUAGAACUUGGCCUUGAAUGGUGUUUGUCUUGUAUCUUUCCACCAGCUUGGAAAUCUCACUCGUGCAAAUCCUUGCUGGACAGUCACUGGGAAAGACAAUUAAUUUUUCAUCCAAGCAAGGAGCACAUGUUUCUAAAAAGUACUUGACUCCCAAAGGAAGUGUUCCAAUUAUGUUUCAGGGUAAUAAUAAAUCGCCCUCAGAUGUAGUGGCUUCUGUGAAGCAAUAAUUUAUCGGGUCCAUGGUGGGUUGACUGGGCUGGGCUGGGUGGUUCUCAGCGGGGGACUGGAGGGGUUAUGGUGUCAGUGGGCUGAGCAUCUGAGACGGGUCCCUCCCGUGGGACCGUUGAGGAGGCUGUCAGCCAGAGCACCUGUGUGGCCCCUCCAUGGGGACAUGGUGGCUGGGUUCCCAGAGGGAAUGUCCCAUAGCAGUCAGUCCAAGACACCCGGACAGAAGUCGUGUGGCUUCUCACGCCCUCGCCUCAGAAGUCCCAGAGCAUCACUUGUGGCACAUUUUACUGCUCAAGCAAGUCCCUGAGGCCAGCCAGGGUUGCCGGAAAGGGAACCAGGUCCCCUUCCCGUGUGUGGGGGCAGAGGGUUGAUGGAGGCUGUGUCUUGGGGGACUCGGUUACCCAUGUCAGAAAGUGAGAACUGGGACAGCUUGAGGGAACUGCUUCAGUCUUCGGGAAACUAGUUUGUAGCUAAGAUCAGAUCCCUUCGAAUGUGUUUUCAGGACCCCCGGUGCCUUGCUGAUCAGCUUCCCAGCUUCUCUGGGCUCCAGGCUUCAACUGAAACCAGCUACUGGCAUGACAGGGUUUAUCCGUAAGCCCUCCCUCUCCACUGGAAGCUGCCCAUUUUCCACGUCCCUCGUAUACACGUGCUAACAUCCAUCAAGCUCUUUCUCUGUGCCACACAUGGUGCCAAGCAACGCACACACACAGCCAGCUUCACCAAGGAGACUUGUCUUGCGGGGGUGCCCAUUAAGGAAAGGUUGCUUCGGAGUUCCUCUCGUGGCGCAGCCAAAACGAAUCCGACUAGAAAGGCAGCCCCACUUGGGCGUUCAAGACUUGUCCACUUAAAAAGUCAUAACUCGGAGUUCCCUUAGUGGCUCAGCAGUAACAAACAUGACGAGUAUCCAUGAGGUUGUGGGUUUGAUCCCCGGCCCCACUCCAUGGGUUAAGGAUCCAGCGUGGCAGUGAGCUGUGGUGUAGGUGGCAGAUGUGGCUCGGAUCUGGCGUUGCUGUGGCUGUGGUGUAGGCCGGCAGCUACAGCUCUGAUGCGACCCCUAGCCUGGGAACGUUCAUACGCCAUGGGUGCGGCCCUAAAAAGCAAAAUAAUGGUAAUAAAAAUUAAAAAAAAAAAGUCACACUCUUAUCCUAGACCCGAGCAGUGAAGCAGACACACAGCAGCUCUCAGAUGCUGCCCGCUCCUCUGCCCUUACUGCAGGAGGUUGAGGCAGCAGGGGACAGAAAUGGAAAACAGAUGUAUUUCCUGGGGUGACCGCCUGGGCAGGGACAAGGCGGUCCUGGGCUCUGGGUCUUUAGUGCUGACCCCGCUCAUUCCCUGAAGCGGGGUUUCUCAUCCUAGCACCAGUGACAUGUGGGGCAGGAUUAGCCUUUGUUGUGGGGGCCCGUUCUAGGCAUUGUUUGCCAGAUUCCCUGGCCUUGGCCCACUCAGUGCCACAGCACCUCCCCCACGCUGUGCAACCAAAAACGUCCUGCAGGCAUUGCCAGUGGCCCCGGGGGCAACCUUGCCCUGGCUGGCUUGAACUUGGUGUGGACAAGUGGGGGGCCCCCAGGCCUGCUGACAGAUGAGACACCCUCGCAAGGGGGUCCCCGGGUUACCUCUUCUUGCUGACCCUGGGAGGUGGCCUCUUGCCACCAAUCCAAACCCCAGAAUCUGCAGUUCCAACCAUGCUCUGGAUCCCACUCUGGGCUGUGGGGUGGCGAACUCUGAGAGGAAGGAGGCCCCCGUCCUUUGCCUCCUGGCUCACCGCCCACCCUGCCAGCUCCUCGGGGCGCUGUCCAAACUUCAGGAGCCCCAGGGCAGACCCACCGGCCCAUGGGCAAGUGGACAGCCAAGUAAGAGACGAGGUGUUCCUUUUAGUGUCCCACACACUUUACAACGACUCCACUGUGUCCCCAACCACCCCCUCGCCCCCACCUGGUUUCAAGAAAAGCCAGUCAAGCCCCCAUGAAGAAGGGGCCUUCCCCCGCCUCGCUUUUCCCUCCGGGGCGGGAUGCUGUGACGCCAGCUACCCCCCCCCCUCCACAGGUUAAGGCCACCAUCCUCACUCAGACACCAGCAACAAGUCUGGGGGUCCCCAGGCCACCUUCACUUUUGACCAGCUGACAGCAAAUUCAGGGGUUCCCACGGCCACUUCAGGUUCAACAAUUCCUAAAUGACUCAGAACCCAGGAAAGCCUUGCACUUGCUAUUGCAGUUUAAGGACAGCGAAAGGAUUCAGCUCUGAGCCAGGCACGGGGUGACACCUCGGGUGAGGCCUGGGAGGGUCCCCAACUUGAAGCUUCUGGUGUCCUCAGGGACAUGUCACCCUCUUGGCACAUCAGUGUGUGACAAUAUGCAGCGCCUUGCCAACCGGGGACACGCACAGAGUUUUGGUGUCUAGGGUUGGUUUGUUAAAUUUUUGUUUGUUUUUAUGGAUGCAUAUACCAUGCAGAAGUUCUCCGGGACCAGGGACCCAACCUGUGCCACAGCAGUGAUGAUUUGGGGUCCCUGACACACUGCACCACCAAAGAACUCCUGGUGUCUAGAGUUUUUACUGGGGUCUCAUUAUAUGGGUGCAAUUGAUUGAGUCAUUGACCACUGAUUGAACUCAGUUUCCAGCUCUGCUCCAAUCCCCAGAGGCUGAGCUAAUAUCAUUUGGUUUAUCCUAAAUGACUGGGUAGAUUUAGAGGGUCCACCAUGAAUAACUGACCCUCCAAUCAUUCAGGAAAUUCCAAGGAUUUAGAAAGAAUUUCGCAGGAGUUCCCAUUGUGGCUCAGCAGUAAUGAACACCGCUAGUAUCCAUGAGGACGCAGGUUCGAUCCCUGGCCCCUCUCAGUUAGGGAUCCAGCAUUGCCGUGAGCUGUGGUGUAGGUCGUACACACGGCUCGGAUCUGGCCUGGCUGUGGCUGUGUAGGCUGGCAGCUACAGCUUUGAUUCGACCCCUAGCCUGGGAACCUUCAUAUGCCGUGGG